rnacentral:rRNA from 1 species
GUGGGGAAUAUUGCACAAUGGGCGAAAGCCUGAUGCAGCGACGCCGCGUGAGGGAUGACGGCCUUCGGGUUGUAAACCUCUUUCAGCUCCGAAGAAGCGCAAGUGACGGUAGGAGCAGAAGAAGCACCGGCUAACUACGUGCCAGCAGCCGCGGUAAUACGUAGGGUGCAAGCGUUGUCCGGAAUUAUUGGGCGUAAAGAGCUCGUAGGCGGUGUGUCGCGUCUGCUGUGAAAACUCAGGGCUCAACUCUGAGCUUGCAGUGGGUACGGGCACACUUGAGUGCUGUAGGGGAGACUGGAAUUCCUGGUGUAGCGGUGAAAUGCGCAGAUAUCAGGAGGAACACCGGUGGCGAAGGCGGGUCUCUGGGCAGUUACUGACGCUGAGGAGCGAAAGCAUGGGGAGCGAAC